UAACCAAAAAAAAAAAAAAAAAAGAGAUACUUAAGAAAAUUCAAUAGGGACUGGAUUUGGUUUGCCUCUUACUCUCUCCUUCAUCACUCUCCAUAUACAGGUGCUUUUUUAUGGUUCUUGAUUUUUUUGUUUUGGGUGUGCAAUUAUUUAGGUUGCAACGGUUGUAAUGGUUCUUUUUUGCUGUGGAACGUGCAGGUGGAAUUGUGCACAGCCAAA
rnacentral:misc_RNA from 1 species